rnacentral:tRNA from 1 species
CUAAGGAAUAUUCACGGAGACUACACAAUUUGUUUUUACUUUGUUCAGUUUUGAGAGGUUUCACUCUCAAUUUAAAACGGGGCCUUAGCUCAGCUGGGAGAGCGCCUGCUUUGCACGCAGGAGGUCAGCGGUUCGAUCCCGCUAGGCUCCAUUAACAACAUUAGUUGUUAAAUUUUGUUCAUUGAAAACUGGAUAUUUUGAAGUAAAUGUAAGUAAUACAAACCGAGAACACCGCGUUGAAUUUGAAAGCUGAACAAAUUGUUUAGCCUAAAGCAAAAUAGCGGACGGCCUAUAAAAUCUUUCGAUUUUAUGAGACGAUCGAUCUUUUUGCCGUACAGGCUGAUUGUGAGCUGGAUAGAGUUUUUUAAUAAGUUCAAUUGCUUUAUUUUCUUGAUCUAACUUCUAUCGCUAGAAGAAGGAUCAAAAGCCCAACCGUAAGGUUGAUAA